CAACAAGAUUAUAUCAGAUUAUCGUCCACUGAAAGGACUUUUCUAUUUGAUUUAUUUAUAUAACGGGGACGAUACAUGUCGUCUGCUUAUCCCAGCUGACUUAAUGAUGGACCCUGCAGUACUGACCUAUUCAGUGGAUGAAUAAUAGCAACUCUUUUUACGAGGAUGAAAGUCGAGGGAGCACUUAACACUUCAGCUCCAGCAGUACUUCCCCGUUUCUCCUCCAGCGCGCAGACUUCACCGACUGGCCCGCUGUGACGGAGCGACACGGGAGGAUGGCAUCCCCACCCUCGGAUACAGCAACUUCAGAGGGCACAAAUACCUCCAGCUUGUAAGCUUCCAAGUGUUUCCUGUUGCAG
ensembl:lncRNA